AUUGAACGCUGGCGGAAUGCUUUACACAUGCAAGUCGAACGGUAGAGGGGCAACCCUUGAGAGUGGCGAACGGGUGAGUAAUGUAUCGGAACAUGCCCAGUCGUGGGGGAUAACGUAGCGAAAGUUACGCUAAUACCGCAUACGAUCUAUGGAUGAAAGCGGGGGAUCGCAAGACCUCGCGCGAUUGGAGUGGCCGAUAUCAGAUUAGGUAGUUGGUGGGGUAAAGGCCUACCAAGCCGACGAUCUGUAGCUGGUCUGAGAGGACGACCAGCCACACUGGGACUGAGACACGGCCCAGACUCCUACGGGAGGCAGCAGUGGGGAAUUUUGGACAAUGGGCGCAAGCCUGAUCCAGCCAUUCCGCGUGCAGGAAGAAGGCCUUCGGGUUGUAAACUGCUUUUGUACGGAACGAAACGCGCUGAGCUAAUACCUCGGCGUAAUGACGGUACCGUAAGAAUAAGCACCGGCUAACUACGUGCCAGCCGCCGCUGUAACAC
rnacentral:rRNA from 1 species